ACGGGUGAGUAACGCGUGGGAAUCUACCGUGCCCUGCGGAAUAGCUCCGGGAAACUGGAAUUAAUACCGCAUACGCCCUACGGGGGAAAGAUUUAUCGGGGUAUGAUGAGCCCGCGUUGGAUUAGCUAGUUGGUAGGGUAAAGGCCUACCAAGGCGACGAUCCAUAGCUGGUCUGAGAGGAUGAUCAGCCACAUUGGGACUGAGACACGGCCCAAACUCCUACGGGAGGCAGCAGUGGGGAAUAUUGGACAAUGGGCGCAAGCCUGAUCCAGCCAUGCCGCGUGAGUGAUGAAGGCCCUAGGGUUGUAAAGCUCUUUCACCGGAGAAGAUAAUGACGGUAUCCGGAGAAGAAGCCCCGGCUAACUUCGUGCCAGCAGCCGCGGUAAUACGAAGGGGGCUAGCGUUGUUCGGAAUUACUGGGCGUAAAGCGCACGUAGGCGGAUAUUUAAGUCAGGGGUGAAAUCCCAGAGCUCAACUCUGGAACUGCCUUUGAUACUGGGUAUCUUGAGUAUGGAAGAGGUAAGUGGAAUUCCGAGUGUAGAGGUGAAAUUCGUAGA
rnacentral:rRNA from 1 species